CAACGACAAUGGCAAACCUAUCGAAAGGUAGGGACGCAAAGCUAAAGGGCCUGUAAAAUGGUAGCCAGUUAUCGAA
rnacentral:ncRNA from 1 species